UGGGGAAUUUUGGACAAUGGGCGCAAGCCUGAUCCAGCAAUGCCGCGUGCAGGAUGAAGGCCUUCGGGUUGUAAACUGCUUUUGUACGGAGCGAAAAGGUCUACCCUAAUACGGUGGGCCCAUGACGGUACCGUAAGAAUAAGCACCGGCUAACUACGUGCCAGCAGCCGCGGUAAUACGUAGGGUGCGAGCGUUAAUCGGAAUUACUGGGCGUAAAGCGUGCGCAGGCGGUUAUAUAAGACAGAGGUGAAAUCCCCGGGCUCAACCUGGGAACUGCCUUUGUGACUGCAUAGCUAGAGUACGGUAGAGGGGGAUGGAAUUCCGCGUGUAGCAGUGAAAUGCGUAGAUAUGCGGAGGAACACCGAUGGCGAAGGCAAUCCCCUGGACCUGUACUGACGCUCAUGCACGAAAGCGUGGGGAGCAAACA
rnacentral:rRNA from 1 species